rnacentral:rRNA from 1 species
UGAUCCUGGCUCAGAUUGAACGCUGGCGGCAGGCCUAACACAUGCAAGUCGAACGGUAACAGGAUAGCUUGCUAUCGCUGACGAGUGGCGGACGGGUGAGUAAUACUUAGGGAUCUGCCUCUGUGUGGGGGAUAACUAUUGGAAACGAUAGCUAAUACCGCAUAAUGUCUACGGACCAAAGCGGGCUUCGGCUCGUGCGCAGAGAGGAACCUAAGCGAGAUUAGCUAGUUGGUGAGGUAAAGGCUCACCAAGGCGACGAUCUCUAGCUGUUCUGAGAGGAAGAUCAGCCACACUGGAACUGAGACACGGUCCAGACUCCUACGGGAGGCAGCAGUGGGGAAUAUUGCACAAUGGGGGAAACCCUGAUGCAGCCAUGCCGCGUGUGUGAAGAAGGCCUUCGGGUUGUAAAGCACUUUCAGUUAUGAGGAAAGUUUAGUAGUUAAUACCUGCUAGAUGUGACGUUAGCAACAGAAGAAGCACCGGCUAACUCCGUGCCAGCAGCCGCGGUAAUACGGAGGGUGCGAGCGUUAAUCGGAAUUACUGGGCGUAAAGCGCACGCAGGCGGUCUGUUAAGCUAGAUGUGAAAGCCCCGCGCUCAACGUGGGAGGGUCAUUUAGAACUGGCAGACUAGAGUCUUGGAGAGGGGAGUGGAAUUCCAGGUGUAGCGGUGAAAUGCGUAGAGAUCUGGAGGAACAUCAAUGGCGAAGGCAACUCCCUGGCCAAAGACUGACGCUCAUGUGCGAAAGUGUGGGUAGCGAACAGGAUUAGAUACCCUGGUAGU